rnacentral:rRNA from 1 species
GAUGAACGCUGACAGAAUGCUUAACACAUGCAAGUCAUUGGCAAAGCUGCGCUUGCGCAGUCUAGCCAAGGCGGACGGGUGAGUAACGCGUAAGGAACUUGCCCUGCAGACAGGGAUAACAGACGGAAGCGACUGAUAACACCUGGUAUUGUCAGGCUGGCGCAUGCCGGCCUGAUGAAAGGAGACGCUGCAGGAGAGCCUUGCGUCCUAUUAGCUAGUUGGUGGGGUAACGGCCCACCAAGGCGAUGAUAGGUAGCCGGCCUGAGAGGGUGAACGGCCACAAGGGGACUGAGAUACGGCCCUUACUCCUACGGGAGGCAGCAGUGGGGAAUAUUGGACAAUGGGGGCAACCCUGAUCCAGCAAUUCUGUGUGCACGAAGAAGGUUUUCGGAUUGUAAAGUGCUUUCAGCAGGGAAGAAGAAAGGACGGACCUGCAGAAGAGGCG